GUCGCUGCAAAUUCAGCGAUACGGGCUUGGACACCCGGUGAAAUACAGGGCGCACAGCGCCGCGAAAGCGGCUUUUUU
rfam:Pseudomonas batumici strain TCM B-321 Contig_80, whole genome shotgun sequence.